CCGACCAGGACGCAUCGCCGG
rnacentral:siRNA from 1 species